UACGUAGGGACCGAGCGUUGUCCGGAUUCAUUGGGCGUAAAGAGCUCGUAGGCGGCCACUCAAGUCGAAUGUGAAACCUCGAGGCUUAACCUCGAGCCUGCAUUCGAUACUGGGCGGCUAGAGUCUGGUAGGGGGAUCUGGAAUUCCUGGUGUAGCGGUGGAAUGCGCAGAUAUCAGGAGGAACACCGGUGGCGAAGGCGGGAUCCUGGGCCAGUACUGACGCUCAUGCACGAAAGCGUGGGGAGCAAACAGG
rnacentral:rRNA from 1 species